rnacentral:rRNA from 1 species
UGGGGAAUUUUGGACAAUGGGGGCAACCCUGAUCCAGCCAUGCCGCGUGCGGGAAGAAGGCCUUCGGGUUGUAAACCGCUUUUGUCCGGAAAGAAAAGGCACUCCCUAAUACGGGGUGUUCUUGACGGUACCGGAAGAAUAAGCACCGGCUAACUACGUGCCAGCAGCCGCGGUAAUACGUAGGGUGCGAGCGUUAAUCGGAAUUACUGGGCGUAAAGCGUGCGCAGGCGGUUCGCAAAGUCUGAUGUGAAAGCCCCGGGCUCAACCUGGGAACUGCAUUGGAAACUAACGGGCUCGAGUGUGGCAGAGGGGGGUGGAAUUCCACGUGUAGCAGUGAAAUGCGUAGAGAUGUGGAGGAACACCGAUGGCGAAGGCAGCCCCCUGGGCUAACACUGACGCUCAGGCACGAAAGCGUGGGGAGCAAACAG